UACAGAGGUCUCAAGCGUUGUUCGGAUUCAUUGGGCGUAAAGGGUGCGUAGGCGGCGCGGUAAGUCGGGUGUGAAAUCUCGGAGCUUAACUCCGAAACUGCAUUCGAUACUGCCGUGCUUGAGGACUGGAGAGGAGACUGGAAUUCCGUGGUGAUAGCGGUGAAAUGCGCAGAUAUCAGGAGGAACACCGGUGGCGAAGGCGGGUCUCUGGGCCGUAACUGA
rnacentral:rRNA from 1 species